AAAUACUUACAUAAGGAGUUCCCUGGUGGCUCAGCAUGUUAACAAUCCAGCAUUGUCACUGCUAUUGCUGGGCCCACAGCUGUGACGUGGGCUCAAUCCCUGGCCCAGGAACUUCCACGUGCCAUGGGCAUGACCAAAAAAAAUUACUUAAACGAAAGCAGCAGAAAUACUUGAGCUUUUUUUGAACUCUGAUCAUGGAAAUCUGAUUUAUAUUAACACCUUUUUAAAAUAAUUCUCAUGAUCAGAACAUUAUGUGAAAAUCUAGAUAAGGCUAAAUUUGUUUAGAUACUUAGCGCUCACAGUACUUAACCAAGUAGAAGUCAGGAGCAUAGAAGACAGAGUCCUUUCUCUAUUUAGGAAACUGAGACUUGGGGCAAUGCACAAUGUGAUUUGAAGUGCACUGGUAUGUGUCUUCUUUAUAGCAGCAAUUCCACUGAAAUGGGCUUUCCCAUCAACUCUCAUCCUGCUAGCUAGGAAGAGGGUAACAGAGUGUGGCAAUCUGUGAAAAGCUCUGACUAAAUCCUUUUGAAUUAAACUCUACAGAUAUCUUGAUAUCAGUGGAUGCCAAGAGGUAACCAGUACAGGAAUCCAUGCAUUGGCAAGAAGCUGCCACCAGCUCAAGUGCCUGGACCUAAGCUCUACAGGAAUAAGCAAAAGAUGGUUUUUUCAUUGGCUAAUUAUUGUCACAUUUGUUUGGAAUGUGUGAAACUCAGUUUCUGCAAAAAUGUCACUCUGGAUGUGAUUUAAAAACUCUGUGAAAACUUCAGACGGUUGAGACAAGAACUGAGAAAAUUUAUUUGGA
ensembl:lncRNA